rnacentral:pre_miRNA from 1 species
AGUGCAAUUGCUGGGUCAUAUGGUAGUUGCAUUUUUCAUUUUUAAGAAACUGCCGAACUGUUUCCCAAAGUGUCUAUACCACUUUACAUUCCCACCAGCAAU